UUCCUCAGGACUCAACACUCAUUAAUCUUUCAACUUCCUUCUCUCUCACGUCGUUUUCCCUCUCUUACGAACUGCUCCUCUCCUUCUUCCUUCCUGUCCACAACACAUGGCAGUUACAAUAUGCAGUUCCCAAUGACAGUUUCCACAAACCUUUAUUUUCUCUCUCACAUUAACUUUCGUUCAUCUCUCACACGUGUUCAUCAUAUUCAUCGCUUCCUCUCGAAAUCACUCCUCAUCUUCUCACGAUUUCAUGGUUUAGAGACAAUAACAAUAAACACUCUUUAUCAUGUUCGAAGAGGUGAUCAUGCUGAUUUAAUUAGGUUGUUGAUGUGUAAUGGUGCAUCAGCAUCAAAAGGAAACUAA